rnacentral:lncRNA from 1 species
UGUAAGUCCUUCAAAAGCUGGUGCUGGUUGAGGCUUUUCUGCAGACUUCAACAAAAGACACACUAGAAUUAGCCAUUGACAGUAACCCUGAGUCAACACGCACAGUGUUCGGAAAAGCACAAGGCCUGCUCCAGGCUUGAGGCCCCUGGGAUCUUUCUCUGGACUGCACCGAGUGGAUGACUUUGAGAACUCAGAAUAACCAACAACCAGUCCCUGAACAGACAGAGAAGACUGCAGCCUCCCUGGGAAUCCACCUGGAGACACUCUGGGUUCAGGCCCCUCCCCAGCUGUGUCUUGGUCCACGGCUGGCUGCCCGUGUGAAGCUCCAGGCCUCGAAGGACCAUCUCCACCUGCUCCCUGCGCUUCUCACCCACUUCCGCCGUGACCCCCAGGCUCUGGCUGCUCUCAGGAAUCAGGGCCACCAGGCUCCCCUCGCUGGUUCCAGUUGGAGUCCCACCCCCUGGUUUUCAACAACACUUGGGACUUUGUCCUGGAAACUCUCGGCUCUGGGCUUUAGUGACCUGCACCGUGCAGCUCUUCUCUGGACUCUAAGCAGGGCCUUUUCUGGGUCUUCCAACCCUUCCUCCAUUUCCAAAUGUGGGCUUUCCUUUGGCCUCCUCUCUCCCGACAUGCACGCCUCACACUCUGGCUCCUUGACCUGCACUUCUAUGUAGGAGGCUCCCAAAUCCACCCCGGUCCGGAUUUUCCCCAAGCCUCCUUCCAUAUUUCCAAACUCGCAGCUUGUGGUGGUGUCUCUAAGUAUCUCUGAAUCAGGUCCACACUUGCUUCUCCUCCUGAUUUCCAGCAAAGCACAACGUCGACCUCAGGGUGUAGACUCACAGCUUCAUCUGCCUUCCUGCACUCCCUCUUCCCCUCCUGACCCAGGCACUGAAUCGCUCAGCUCACUGGCUGCCUUCUUUCCUCCUCUCGCCAUGGCGAGUGCCCCGCAUGAGCCUGGCCUGUCCCCCGUGGCUCCACGGCAUACCGCACAUCAGAGCACAAUUCUCUCCGAAGCCCUCAGUGGCUUCCUAGUAUCUGACAGGUAAGGACUUCCACAUUCUGACCCCAAUCUAACUUUCUGCCCUCAGAUAGGCACAUGCAUAUUUUAUCUAUACACAAAGAGUACAGGCCUCACACCUGCUCUCAUUCCUGGGCUCCUAGCUCCUCCUGAAGGUGCUGUAUGAGGUACCUAUGAACUUUCCAAACGCUAAGUGAAUACGCACUUGGAGAACACUUACUUGAUAAUUUUGUGGCAUUGCCAGAUAACGCAGACAAAGUGAGAACUACGCAGGUGUAUGGAUGCUGCCUUGCCCAGACCUCACUCACCCAGACACUCCU